ACAUACUUUGUCUAAAUAUCCUAAAGGCACCAGAUCCCGUCUGAUCUGCAAAGCUAAGCAUGAUCAUGAUUGGUUAGUACUUGGAUGGGAGACCACCAAGAAAUACUAGGUGUUGUAUGUU
rnacentral:rRNA from 1 species